rnacentral:misc_RNA from 1 species
AAGUCGUAACAAGGUUUCCGUAGGUGAACCUGCGGAAGGAUCAUUCAUAAUUGAGUGUUUUAUGGCACUCUUUAAAAAAUCCAUAUCCACCUUGUGUGCAACGUUUUUAGACACCCUGGCGCUGAUAUCUCUUUUAAGAGAAGGAAAGCCAGGAUGUUUGAUUAACUUAACUCAACUCCUUUAAAACAGUUUGUCUGAAUACCUAUUUCUGAAUAACAUAAUUCAAAAAUACAACUUUCAACAACGGAUCUCUUGGUUCUG